rnacentral:rRNA from 1 species
UACGUAGGGUGCGAGCGUUAAUCGGAAUUACUGGGCGUAAAGUGUGCGCAGGCGGCCGCGCAAGUCGAGUGUGAAAGCCCCGAGCUUAACUUGGGAACUGCGCUCGAAACUACGUGGCUGGAGUGUGGCAGAGGAAGGUGGAAUUCCAGGUGUAGCGGUGAAAUGCGUAGAGAUCUGGAGGAACACCGAUGGCGAAGGCGGGUUGCUGGGCUGACACUGACGCUGAGGCGCGAAAGCCAGGGGAGCAAACGGG